GGUUCUAGCAUUGCUUCUGGUAUUGCGUGCGCAGCCGCGCACGGAAUUGAAACGGGAAGCCGGUGCGGCCCGCAUGGAUGCAUCCGUGCAUGAAUCCAUGGGCCAAGGCCGGCGCUGCCCCCGCAACGGUAAGCGAGGAAGGACACGCACUACGCCACUGUGCCACCAGCAUGGGAAGGCGCCUGUCCGCGAAGCCCCCGGCUUCAUCCCGUCAGCCCGGAGACCGGCCAGUGGCAAGAUUCUUGA
rnacentral:ncRNA from 2 species